CCUACGGGGGGCAGCAGUGGGGGAUAUUGGACAAUGGGGGAAACUCUGAUCCAGCGACGCCGCGUGAGGGAAGACGUAUCUCGGUAUGUAAAGCUCUAUUAGCAGGGAAGAAAGAAAUGACGGUACCUGAGUAAGAAGCCCCGGCUAACUACGUGCCAGCAGCCGCGGUAAUACGGAGGGGGCAAGCGUUAUCCGGAAUUACUGGGUGUAAAGGGAGCGUAGGCGGUAAUGGAAGGCUGGAGUGAAAGGCCGGGGCCCAACCCCGGGAUUGCUCUGGAAACUGUGUAACUAGAGUGCAGGUGAGGCAGGCGGAAUGGCUGGUGUAGCGGUGAAAUGCGGAGAGAUUAGGAGGAACACCGGUGGCGAAGGCAGCUUGCUAGACUGUAACUGACGUUGAGGCUCGAAAGCGUGGGGAGCAAACAGGAUUAGAUACCCCUGUAGUC
rnacentral:rRNA from 1 species